rnacentral:rRNA from 1 species
GAUGAACGCUAGCGGCAGGCCUAACACAUGCAAGUCGAGCGGGAUUCGGUAGCUUGCUACCGAUGAGAGCGGCGCACGGGUGCGUAAUGCGUAUACAAUCUGCCUCUUACUGCGGGAUAGCCCAGAGAAAUUUGGAUUAACACCGCAUAGCAUAGUGUUCCGGCAUCGGGACGUUAUUAAAGGUUACGGUAAGAGAUGAGUAUGCGUCCUAUUAGCUAGAUGGUAAGGUAACGGCUUACCAUGGCGACGAUAGGUAGGGGCCCUGAGAGGGGGAUCCCCCACACUGGUACUGAGACACGGACCAGACUCCUACGGGAGGCAGCAGUGAGGAAUAUUGGACAAUGGGCGCAAGCCUGAUCCAGCCAUGCCGCGUGCAGGAAGACGGCCCUAUGGGUUGUAAACUGCUUUUGUACGGGAAGAAACACCACUACGCGUAGUGGCUUGACGGUACCGUAAGAAUAAGGAUCGGCUAACUCCGUGCCAGCAGCCGCGGUAA